rnacentral:ncRNA from 1 species
CAAGCGUUCAUAGUGACGUCGCUUUUGGAUCCUAUGACGUCGGCUAUUCCUAUCACUCAGAACCAGAACUCAUCAUGCGUUGGAUUGUUCAGCCAUGCAUAGGGAACGUGAGCUGCAUUCAGUCGAUUAUCAGACAUGUCAGUCUGACCCUCCUGACGCCAAAAACGU